UAACACGUGAGCAACCUGCCUCUGAGAGAGGGAUAGCUUCUGGAAACGGAUGGUAAUACCUCAUAACAUAUUUAAAUCGCAUGAUUUGGAUAUCAAAGAAAUUCGCUCAGAGAUGGGCUCGCGUCUGAUUAGAUAGUUGGUGAGGUAACGGCUCACCAAGUCGACGAUCAGUAGCCGGACUGAGAGGUUGAACGGCCACAUUGGGACUGAGACACGGCCCAGACUCCUACGGGAGGCAGCAGUGGGGAAUAUUGCACAAUGGGGGAAACCCUGAUGCAGCGAUGCCGCGUGGAGGAAGAAGGUUUUCGGAUUGUAAACUCCUUUUAUCAGGGACGAUAAUGACGGUACCUGAAGAAAAAGCUCCGGCUAACUACGUGCCAGCAGCCGCGGUAAUACGUAGGGAGCGAGCGUUGUCCGGAAUUACUGGGUGUAAAGGGAGCGUAGGCGGGACGGCAAGUCAGAUGUGAAAACUGAGGGCUCAACUUUCAGACUGCAUUUGAAACUGCUGUUCUUGAGUGAAGUAGAGGUAAGCGGAAUUCCUAGUGUAGCGGUGAAAUGCGUAGAUAUUAGGAGGAACAUCGGUGGCGAAGGCGGCUUACUGGGCUUUUACUGACGCUGAGGCUCGAAAGCGUGGGGGGCAAACAGGAUUAGAUACCCUGGUAGUCCACGCUGUAAACGAUGAUUACUAGGUGU
rnacentral:rRNA from 1 species